GUUAUAAAUAGGCCCAUUUUCAGAAAAAAAAAUCAUUUGAAGGGAGAAAAGAAAAAAAAGAGAAGAAAGGAGAGGAAGAGAGAGGAGGGAGGAGGAAGAGAGGAAAGGAGAGUGGGGGACUGCCGGCCAGGGGGCCGGUCACAGGCCGAUAGUCGGCCCGGCGCCGGCCACCGUGCACGGUGGCCGGAGAGGUGGAGCAGGUGGGUGUGGUGGUGGCAGAGGUAUGGUGGCUGACAUGGAGAGGCAGACGGUAUGGGGCUAGGUGCAAGUGGGGAGAGGUUAGGGUUUGUGAUAGCUUUUUGGAUUUGGUUUAAGGUUUGGGUGUAAUUGGGCUGUUGGGAAUUUGGGUUUUUUAGUGGGUUUAAUGGAUUGGUUUAAUUGUAAUGGGUUUUGGGUAAGGGUUAUUAUUUGAGUUUGGUGUAAUGUAAGUGGGUUAAAUUGGCCUAUAACAAAUAAGAAAUAAAAUAUACUCAUCAAUAAAAAUAUGAUUUUCAAUCUUAUUAAGAA